UACGAAGGGGGCUAGCGUUGUUCGGAAUUACUGGGCGUAAAGCGCGCGCAGGCGGUCCUUUAAGUCAGGGGUGAAAGCCCAGAGCUCAACUCUGGAACUGCCUUUGAAACUAGAGGACUUGGGUACGGGAGAGGUGAGUGGAAUUCCGAGUGUAGAGGUGAAAUUCGUAGAUAUUCGGAAGAACACCAGUGGCGAAGGCGACUUACUGGACACGUAUUGACGCUGAGGUGCGAAAGCGUGGGGAGCAAACAGG
rnacentral:rRNA from 1 species